rnacentral:lncRNA from 11 species
CUGAGUGCUAUUAAUAGAGACUGAGUAAAUCUUGAGUUAGUGAUGGUGAUGAUGAUGGUGUUGAUGUUGGAGAGGAGCUGAAGAGAGUUUGAAGAUGGAGAGUCUGGAAACCAGAGAGUUUGAAAGAUGCUCCCAAACGCUAGCCAAAGCUGGUAAUAGAAAGCUGAAAAGUUGUAAAGAUGUGGAGACAAUUUUUUUCAUACAAAUGCAACCCGUUUGUUCUCUUUGUGUCUUAUCUGACACACACACACAUAUAUAUAUAUUUCUCGCUCUCGAGUGAAGAUGGAGUUUAAAGAAAGUGGGAGCACUCUAUUGAAAGAUAGAAUGAUUGGAGCUUGCGUGGUUCACCAACAAGCUUUUCCACUGAUUGAAAGGGAGAUACAAAGGAGCAGCAU